rnacentral:lncRNA from 1 species
GGACCUCUUACAAUAACAGCACUUUGCUACAGACCAUUUCAGAAGGAUGAAGGAGGUGAGAGCACAUUUGCACCCACUGGAGGAAGGGCCCACUUAGCCCCUUGCUUUUCAAGCCUCCUCAGCUGCUCCAUGUGCUGGGCCCACAAAGCCUCUCAUGUGCCCCCAGCUCUCUGCUCUGGCCUGGGCUCAGGAGUGAAAAGGCACAAGGGGAUGGUUCCCCCAUGGGCUUGGCCUGUGUCAGGACUUGCCUUCCCCUCCCUCAGCCCCAGGGCUGCUGUGGAAACAUGGAGAUUAUGCAUUAGUGUGAGAGGAGAGUAUCCUCUGCCGGGGAGGAGAGCAUGAAAACAUAAAUAACUGCAGAAAUGAAAACGAUGUUAAGAAACAAGUCCAAAGGUAUUAACUGUUAAAGUGGAAAAAUAACAUUUUAUACAUAUAAUCUUCCUAAUACUCCAUAAUGUGCUUCUCUGUGUCACGCAGCACAACAAUUUCCUGUUCAGCUUUACUCUGUGAGCAAAAGCAGAGACCGAGGUUGGCAAGCAGUAAUGGGAGAGCCGGGGCUCUCCCCCAGCCCCCAGAGAGCCUGCUUUCUCCUGCCCUGCUCUCGGCAUAAGCCGCUUCAGCCACGGGGUGAUCCUCUUGAAUCGCUUUUUAACCGAGUCAAGAAGACUUCUAUGGCAACAGCCUUGUUUGUGUUUAGCACUUGCAGCAUCCUGUGGUAUUGGGGAGGAAAUUUGGACAUGAAAUUGCACAGCAGGGAAAAAGUUCUCUGCAGAAGUAACAAGCAGCGAGAAAGGAUAUGCAACAUUUAACUUAUUUCUUGCUUCCAUGCCCUGGGCAGGCUGGUACAAAUUGUAUCUUGUGUCAGACUACAAGAACCACAGAGGGAAUAUGGGAUACCAAGGGAUUUAGCUAACAGGAGACAAAAUGUGCUCGUAUUAAUUGCUUAGCGCUCAAAAGUGUUAGAAAUAUUUAUAUAACAAUAACAAUCUAUUUCAUAGCUUACAUAUGACUUGGUAUUUCCAAAGACACUGUUAAACAACAGUGCUUGCUGGAGACUCUGACAGUGUGGACAGCUUGCAUGCACAUUAAAAUGGAUAGGUUGAACGUAUAUAGACAUUAUAUUUUCUGGCAGAAGUCCCAAAUGCAGAUUUUAAACUUGGUGAAUUGAUGAAGUUAUGCAUCCUUAGCAGAAAAUUUGGGAAAGAUUACCAUCAAAGAAGGAUACUUUUGCUUCAGCUUGUGGUACUUUAGCCAGAUAGAAAGCCAAAAAACCACCGGCACAAAAAAAUUUCAGGAAAUCUACAUCUCUCUCAUAUAAAUGUGUUUCAUGAGUGUCCAGAACUGCUCUUUAAAUCUUUCCUUGUCAAAGUGGAGUCUCACUGUUGUAGAGAACAGCAAGAAAAUAAAUUACAAGUAAACCAAGCUAUACCA